GUGGAUGGCGGGUGCUUACCAUGCAGUCGAACGGAAAGGCCCUAUGCUUGCUAGGGUGCUCGAGUGGCGAACGGGUGAGUAACACGUGGGUGAUCUGCCUUGUACUCUGGGAUAAGCUUGGGAAACUGGGUCUAAUACCGGAUAGGAACUGCCUUUAGUGUGGUGGUUGGAAAGUUUUUUCGGUGCAAGAUGAGCUCGCGGCCUAUCAGCUUGUUGGUGGGGUAAUGGCCUACCAAGGCGUCGACGGGUAGCCGGCCUGAGAGGGUGUACGGCCACAUUGGGACUGAGAUACGGCCCAGACUCCUACGGGAGGCAGCAGUGGGGAAUAUUGCACAAUGGGCGGAAGCCUGAUGCAGCGACGCCGCGUGGGGGAUGACGGCCUUCGGGUUGUAAACUCCUUUCGACAGGGACGAAGCUUUUUGUGACGGUACCUGUAUAAGAAGCACCGGCUAACUACGUGCCAGCAGCCGCGGUAAUACGUAGGGUGCGAGCGUUGUCCGGAAUUACUGGGCGUAAAGAGCUCGUAGGUGGUUUGUCGCGUCGUCUGUGAAAUUCCGGGGCUUAACUCCGGGCGUGCAGGCGAUACGGGCAUAACUUGAGUGCUGUAGGGGAGACUGGAAUUCCUGGUGUAGCGGUGAAAUGCGCAGAUAUCAGGAGGAACACCGAUGGCGAAGGCAGGUCUCUGGGCAGUUACUGACGCUGAGGAGCGAAAGCAUGGGUAGCGAACAGGAUUAGAUACCCUGGUAGUCCAUGCCGUAAACGGUGGGCGCUAGGUGUAGGGGGCUUCCACGUCUUCUGUGCCGUAGCUAACGCAUUAAGCGCCCCGCCUGGGGAGUACGGCCGCAAGGCUAAAACUCAAAGGAAUUGACGGGGGCCCGCACAAGCGGCGGAGCAUGUGGAUUAAUUCGAUGCAACGCGAAGAACCUUACCUGGGCUUGACAUACACCAGAUCGCUGCAGAGAUGUAGUUUCCCUUGUGGUUGGUGUACAGGUGGUGCAUGGUUGUCGUCAGCUCGUGUCGUGAGAUGUUGGGUUAAGUCCCGCAACC
rnacentral:rRNA from 1 species